UACGUAGGUGGCAAACGUUGUCCGGAUUUACUGGGCGUAAAGAGCGCGCAGGCGGUCGUUCAAGUCGCGUGUGAAAGCCCCCGGCUCAACUGGGGAGGGUCACGCGAUACUGAUCGACUCGAAGGCAGGAGAGGGUAGUGGAAUUCCGGGUGUAGUGGUGAAAUGCGUAGAGAUCCGGAGGAACACCAGUGGCGAAGGCGGCCCCCUGGGCCGCGCCUGACGCUGAGACGCGAAAGCGCGGGGAGCGAACGGG
rnacentral:rRNA from 1 species